AGAGUUUGAUCCUGGCUCAGGACGAACGCUGGCGGCGUGCCUAAUACAUGCAAGUCGAACGAAACUUUCUUACACCGAAUGCUUGCAUUCACCGUAAGAAGUUGAGUGGCGGACGGGUGAGUAACACGUGGGUAACCUGCCUAAAAGAAGGGGAUAACACUUGGAAACAGGUGCUAAUACCGUAUAUCUCUAAGGAUCGCAUGAUCCUUAGAUGAAAGAUGGUUCUGCUAUCGCUUUUAGAUGGACCCGCGGCGUAUUAACUAGUUGGUGGGGUAACGGCCUACCAAGGUGAUGAUACGUAGCCGAACUGAGAGGUUGAUCGGCCACAUUGGGACUGAGACACGGCCCAAACUCCUACGGGAGGCAGCAGUAGGGAAUCUUCCACAAUGGACGCAAGUCUGAUGGAGCAACGCCGCGUGAGUGAAGAAGGUCUUCGGAUCGUAAAACUCUGUUGUUAGAGAAGAACACGAGUGAGAGUAACUGUUCAUUCGAUGACGGUAUCUAACCAGCAAGUCACGGCUAACUACGUGCCAGCAGCCGCGGUAAUACGUAGGUGGCAAGCGUUGUCCGGAUUUAUUGGGCGUAAAGGGAACGCAGGCGGUUUUUUAAGUCUGAUGUGAAAGCCUUCGGCUAACCGGAGUAGUGCAUUGGAAACUGGAAGACUUGAGUGCAAAAAAGAAAGUGGACUCCUGUGUACCGGUGAAUGCGUAAAUU
rnacentral:rRNA from 1 species